GACAUCAUGCCUCAUGCUUUUAAAAGAUCAGAAGAUCAGGCUGGCUGCUAAAGAGAUGAUGGCGAACUCAGAAAAGCAGCUCUGUAACUGGCCUGGAGAGCAACCAGUCCAAGACAAAGCAGGAAGGCAGAGGACUCCAUGAAGAACAAAUCCAAGAAAAUAACUGUAACUGUGAAAUUAUCUCAUUUGUCUGAACAUAUGAGAAGGAGGUAAACACUUCUGUCAGAAAGUCUGGAAACGAAAAAGAAGUAGGUCCACAGAGAACCAAGAAAAGAAGAAUUAACACCUCUAGAAAAACAUUAUUCAAGAUAGGAAACAGAAUUAAGUGAACAGGAAAGAGGCCUGUUUUUGCGGUGCCUGGAAUAUAGCAGACAAGCCACAAACUUUAAAUAACUUCAACAAUGAGAAAGAGGAGGAGGUCCUGUGAGCUGGUGGUAAUGGACAGAACAGAUCAUGCAAGGACUGUACAAUAAAAUCUGCACCUCCAAGGCUGAGCUUGCCUCCUCAGGUGCGUGGGCAGCUGUUGAAAUGGGCCAACUCCAAGUGCCAGUUCGUGAUAAAGUAACUAAAUAAAAGCACUACUCAGAAAAAUGUUCUGACCUCAAUCCUAGAAGAUCCCAGGUUUCUGUUACAAAGUUUUGUCAACCACGGAGUCAAAAUUCAGUGCCAUGUAACUCUACAUAUGUGACAUAAUGCUGCCUUCUAUACUUGCUCACAGAAAAGCCUACUUUGUAAAGAUGAGAUUCAAGAUAUGUACAGCUCAAGUCAUAACCCGUAUUAAUUUUUUAUUAUAAGGGGAUGGGUUUCUAGAUUACAGUGCAUUUUAAAACUGGCCUGAUUCUAUCUAGAAGAAAUAACAUGGGUAUAUUAGGGACCUCCAUAUACACACAAAUGCUUCUUUCUAUUUCAACUUUUCAAGAUCGUCUGUUUCCUCUGGUUCCAAUGCAAUCAUUUGCGCUAUCCUUUGGGUCCUCACAUAUUAUACUAAAACUGUACAAAGCUUUAUGCUGUGCCUGCUUCUGUAGAGUUUGGAACGCCUUUGAGACAUUAUCUCAUUUUGUUAUGGCCAAUUGUGUUAUGCUUACCCCCAGAAAUCACUGCUAACACCAGCCACCCUCUCUCUUGAGCUUGUGAGUGGUUUAUGGAGCUGAAAACGAGUUAACCAAUGGAUAUGAAUCAAACACAGGAAACCAGUACCCAUGGGUGGAACAACAGACCCUGGGCAUUAAAGCAUUUAUGAGUAAAAUCCAGUUAAUCACAGGAGAGGAGAGCUUAAUGGUAACAAGAAUGCUGCAACCUUGUUUUUCAAAGCACCUUCAUUUAAUCACUUUCAAUUCAAAAACUGGCCCAAUUUUAGAGGCAAAUGACCAUGUCACAAAAAGAGUUUAAGUGUCCUACCCAGGAUGGUCUCUAUCUAGAUAGAGACAAAAAUCAUCUGAUCUAAAGUAGGCUUUCUGCCUCAUCUCUCCUCUCCCUGUCCAACACUCAUGUCUUCUUCUGGUCCUGGUAUAACACCAGACUUUUUUCCUCAUAGCACUUCUGAGUAUCUGAAUUGUUUUGUUUACUUACUUUGUUCACUUGUUUUUGUUAUCCCUCAAAUGAAAACCCUAUGAGAACAGGAAUUUUACUGUUUUGUCUCUCAAGUGACCUCACUGCCUAGAAAUCUCUUGUACUCAAUAAAUAUAGCUGGCACACAA